rnacentral:rRNA from 1 species
AUUGAACGCUGGCGGCAGGCUUAACACAUGCAAGUCGAGCGGGGUGAUGGUGCUUGCACUAUCACUUAGCGGCGGACGGGUGAGUAAUGCUUAGGAAUCUGCCUAUUAGUGGGGGACAACAUCUCGAAAGGGAUGCUAAUACCGCAUACGUCCUACGGGAGAAAGCAGGGGAUCACUUGUGACCUUGCGCUAAUAGAUGUGCCUAAGUCGGAUUAGCUAGUUGGUGGGGUAAAGGCCUACCAAGGCGACGAUCUGUAGCGGGUCUGAGAGGAUGCUCCGCCACACUGGGACUGAGACACGGCCCAGACUCCUACGGGAGGUAGCAGUGGGGAAUAUUGGACAAUGGGGGGAACCCUGAUCCAGCCAUGCCGCGUGUGUGAAGAAGGCCUUAUGGUUGUAAAGCACUUUAAGCGAGGAGGAGGCUCUUUUGGUUAAUACCCAAGAUGAGUGGACGUUACUCGCAGAAUAAGCACCGGCUAACUCUGUGCCAGCCGCCGCCGUAA